AGUGAACGCUGGCGGUAGGCCUAACACAUGCAAGUCGAACGGCAGCACAGUAAGAGCUUGCUCUUACGGGUGGCGAGUGGCGGACGGGUGAGGAGUACAUCGGAAUCUACUUUUUCGUGGGGGAUAGUGUAGGGAAACUUACGCUAAUACCGCAUACGAUCUACGGGUGAAAGCAUGGGAUCUUCGGACCUUUCGCGGUUGAAUGAGCCGAUGUCGGACUAGCUAGUUGGCGGGUUAAAGGCCCACCAAGGCGACGAUCCGUAGCUGGUCUGAGAGGAUGAUAAGCCACACUGGAACUGGAACACGGUCCAGACUCCUAAGGGAGGCGGCAGUGGGGAAUAUUGGACAAUGGGCGCAAGCCUGAUCCAGCCAUACCGCGUGGGUGAAGAAGGCCUUCGGGUUGUAAAGCCCUUUUGUUGGGAAAGAAAAGCAGCAGGUUAAUACCCAGCUGUUCUGACGGUACCCAAAGAAUAAGCACCGGCUAACUUCGUG
rnacentral:rRNA from 1 species